CUGAAAUAAUGGCAGAUGAUUCGCCAGGAAAGGUUCAAGCCCUGAGAGCUAUUUUCUCUGAAAAAAACAAGCCUGUCAUGGGGAUGAUGCCACCUGGUGGAAAAAUUCCGAACCGACCGUGGCGGCAAAGUGCGGAUUCUGUUGUCAAAACAGAAGCGUUUAAAGGGAAAGUUGCUAGCGAACAAAAAGUUUCUUUAUUGACAAAUACCAAAGUUCUCUCCCAACUCGAUAAGAAACCUUUUCUGAAUGGACAGCUGCAUAAAAACCUUAAUGGAUUCAGUCAAAAUCAGUUAGACAGUGUGCUAUUAAAACCUGCUGUGGGACCGAAGCCACUUCACUUGUUACCUCAGUCACGGACUAAUUCAUCAUUGAAUCUGAAUUCCGAUUCAUCUGUUGGUGUAAACAAUGAUGAAAACAUUAGAAAUAGGACUUUAAGUGAUGCUCAAGACUGUCAUGCUAAGUCAAAAGCAUUUGGUGAAACCAUUGCUUCUUUUAUGUUUACUAAUGGUGUAAACAAUAAGGAGAAUGCCAGCACUAUGAUGACUGACAAUAAAAACAAACUUAUUCCACCUGUACCAAAACCAAGAAAUAUCCAGUUGCGAACAAACUUAAUUAGCCAAACGAAUUUAAGUCAAUUGAAGAAUUCUCAAAGUACAGAAGCUCUUAAUAAGAGUAAUUUAGAAAAUUCAUGUAGUCAUUUGAUUAGUUCAGACAAUUAUGUGUGCAAAACUAGUUGCAAUUAUCGCAAAAGGGAAUUGCCACCUGCUGAAAAACUUGGACAGGCCCCAUUAAAGCCUGUCAAACCAUCAUUUUUAAAGUUACCAUUGAAAUUGCUUUCUGAAUCGCCAACAUUUUCUGAACAUUGUACUUCAUCUAAGUCAUCUUUUCUUCAUGCAGCACCUCCACUUCCACAGAAGCCACUUCCAUUACUACAAGAGCCACUUUCACUACCACAAAAGCCACUUCCACAAAAACCUUCAUAUCCAUGUCCUCCAAGGCCUCAGACAUCACCACCAUUGCCACCCAUCAAGUCACCAGUAUCUAACUCGGCCAAUAGUUCACUGCGGGAAGAAAUUGAAGAGCUUUAUGAAGACACCUUAUUGGGUGAAAAGAAAAGACCAUCCUCUCUUAUCCAAGAGUAUACGGAAGAGGAAGAAGCUGAAGAGCUGUAUAAUGAUGCUGGGGAAGUCUGUGAUGAUGCUCCAUUGGUUCCAAAAACUCCCAAGCCCAAAGAUCUGUCUCAGCAGUGCCCGUCAGAAUAUUUGCAGCCCAAUGUUCAUGGUUCAACAGAGGAACUUUAUCAAGAUGCUGAAGAGUACAACCAAGAGGAAUUUUAUGAAGAGAUGCCAUGUGAUAGCAAUCCAGAAGAGCAAGGUUCUCCUCUGUAUAGUAAUAAUAAGAAGGAAAUUGAAAGGCUUAAAAGAGAAGAAGAAAAAAGGCUACGUAAAGAGCAAAAGGAAAAAGAGAAACGAGAAAAGGAACUAGAGAAAUUGAAGAAAAAGUUUGGGUUCACUGGCGAAGAAAUUCCUAUUGACAAGGGGUUUGUAAAGGCUGACAGUCGAGGAGGAAAAGGAGAUCUGCCGGUCAAGAAGGGAGAAAUUGUUCUUAUUUUACGCAUGGAAGGCAACCCUUCUGGAAGAUGGCUUGUCAAAAAUGAAAGAGGAAAGAUUGGCUAUGUGGAGCUGACAAACAUUGAGGUAGAUCCUCUCUCCGUAAAAUCUGCUUCCGCAACUUCAGAAGAUGAUGUGUGUACAACUCCAACUGAAAAGAAUGUUACAUGGUUAUCUAAGAUCACUUCUUGUGUGAGGUGAUGAUUAUAAGAAGACUAUCUGUGAUUAGUGCUAGCGAAGAAUUGUACUGUGAAGCAAAAUCUGAAGAAGAAGCCAUAUAUGAAGUGACAUAUUGAACUUCUACAUCAAAAAGUGAGACUUUUCUGUGCCUAUAAAAAUUUGAUACUACCCUUUUACAUUGAAGCUUUAUUUAUACAGAACUUUCUACGUCUGCGUGUACUUUGUUUUCUAAUUUACAAAUUUUGUUUUGAAAAGGAAUUUCAUUAGUAUUGUAGAAAAAUACUCAUUACUAAACAACUAAUACUCAUUGCAUUGAAAAAAACA